AAGACACUCACGAUUUCUCAAAAGACACCAGAGAUGAGAUCACUUUCCAAGAAAAACAUAAAUUACUCAUAUAAUCACCUGCUAGUAUAUUUUUGCCUCUUAAACCUUGUUAGUUUGUGAAGGAGUGCUAACGGGUAUGACAUUUGCUUAAGUGGACAGACUAAAGAUGAAGUGGUCAAAGGAUAAGAAGGUGAUAUCUAGAAGAUGUUGCAAGUGGCAGACUAUUAAAUGGGGCUGUAGAAAGCAAUAGCUAGAGUCCUACAGAGCACAGAAGCAAGACUGUCUCCUCAGAUGGUCUCGAGCAUUUACUCAUGGAGAGUGGAUUGCUGCCCGAUGUGGAUUGCUAUGGGCCAGGCAGCUGGGCUUCCCUACUGGUUACCAGCCAAGGCCUGCUGAUUGAAGCUUCCUUCAGGGACUGCAGUAAAUAAGGCUCCUGGAGCAGCCUUAUUUGAGAGAUGCCAAAGCCCGAAAAGUUAGAAGGUACGUCUCGUGAGAUAGAACAAAACUAGGAGUGUGAUACUUCGUGAAUGUCAAGAUCCUACAAGAGGAAUGGGGGAUUAUCAAGUGUGUCAGAUACUGUGGAGAGGCUGAGUAAGAAGAGAACAUAGAAGCAACCAUGAUAUGUCAUCGCAGGGGUCGUUGGUGACAUUGACAAAAAAUGAUCUCAGUGGUUCAGGUGAAAAGAAAGAUUGGAAAGUGUGACAAUGGACCCUGGAUGCCACAAUUAUGAACAACUUUUUAAAGACUUUUCUUUAAAAUGACCACCUAAGCAACAACAACAACAACAACAACAAAAUAUCAUUUUGUGAGUGGAUAGUCAAGGGAAACUUACUUUUGUUUUGUUUUUUAAAUGAUGAGAAUGAUACAAUGGAGAGGGGCAGAUUGAUGAUCUUGAAGGAAGAGCUCAUGAAUAGAAGACUAAAGUUCUCCAAAAGAGGACAUUGGAAAAAGAGCAUGGAAACCUGUGUAUGGAGUGGAUUGGGCUUAGGAGGAAGCAGGGACAUUUCAGUCUUUGACCUAAAAAGGAGAGCAGGUAGUAUGUAACGAGAUACAAGUGGGAAGGCAGAUUUAUUGGAGGGACUCUGAAGGUCUUCAUUUCUUCCCCUAUUUUCUUGACAAAGUGUGAAGAAAAAAAUCAUCAGCUGAGAUGGAAGGAAGUGGUUUCUCUCAUUACAAAAACAAUGAAGUCAUUGACUUUAAUAAAGAGCAGAGGUCUGACUGUUUUUAAGGUCGAACACUACAUUUUCCUUCCAAGUAAACUUGAAACUGUAUACAUGAUUCUAAAUGAUUGAAGGAUUAUCUUCAACCCAGAUGCUUGAUAGUUUUGUGUCACUUCCUACUGUAGGAUUUACGGUGGUUUGUGGAAGCAGGAAUAUACACCAAGUGACUUCACUCACACUUUUCUUAUUUUUUGAAUCAUUGGUAUUCAUAGCAAAUUUGGAGAACAGUCAAGAGAUAGUUCAUAUAAAGGUAGGCUGAGGUUUAAAAUAAAAGAGGUUAAUAUUUAUGUUUUCCUGAAACAAUGUUUAUGUACAAAUUGAACAAAGAAUCUAUUUCUGUUCUUAGACAUAAAAGAUUUUUUUAAAAGUUACAACUAGAAUAGGCUAGAUUCUUGGCAUCUAUUUUAUUUCCUUGCAACUACAGAAAAUCUGAUUUCCAAAGACAAAGAUGAACAUUGGUACUUGAACUGUGAUGAUUAUAUCUUAAUGCAUUUAUUUUUAAGGAUAGUUUCACUUUGAUAUGACAAUUUCAGACUGAAUUACGAGCCUAUGUACUAGAAUGGUCAUUUCUUACCUGCUGGAAAUUAAAGCAGUAUUAAAUUCUUGUCUUGAGGACACUGAUCAUUCUUUAAACAUCAGUGCUAUCUGAGGAAAACUACAAAUAGUACUGUAAAAAAACAAAAAGCUAAAUGUUAUUAUCUUUUGCAAUAUCUCAUAUUGUUCAAUUUGGUACAUUGGUAUUAAAGAUCUGUUCUUGGCCGGGCACGGUGGCUCACGCCUGUAAUCCCAGCACUUUGGGAGGCUGAGGCAGGCGGAUUGCCUGAGCUCAGGAGUUCUCAACCAGCCUGGGCAACACGGUGAAAUCCUGUCUCUACUAAAAUGCAAAAAAUUAGUCGGGGGUGGCAGCACGUGCCUGUAUUCUCAGCUACUCGGGAGGCUGAGGCAGGAGAAUCACUUGAACCCAGGAGGUGGAGGUUGCAGUGAGCUGAGAUUGAGCCACUGCACUCCAGCCUGGGCGACAGAGUGAGACUCAGUCUUAAAAAAAAAAAAAAAAUCUGUUCUUUAUUAUUUGUUGACUACAUAAAAUUUUUAGAUGUGCAAUUUAACUGUGUUUUGGUUCAAUCCCUUUGGAACUUCAUAAUGUUGAGGGCUUUCUUAAAAGGUAUUCCUAUAAUAAAUUUAUAAUAUGUCCAAUUUGGAUGAGACAACUGAUCCCUGGAAAUCUGUGGAGGUUACUAGGUGUAAUGUGAUAAAUCUUGGCCUCUAGAGUUAGGCAACUUUGAAUUCCAGUUCUGCUGUCUUCACUUACUUGAUUGGCAAUCGUGGGUAAAUCACUUUGCCUCUCUUAAAAUAAGUUUUCUCAUGUGCAAUAUGGGGAAAGUGGGGAAAAUAAUACCACCUCUAGAGUUGUGAGGAUAAAUUGAGGAAGUGAAUAUUAAACUCUUCUGCAAAGUAUCAAACAUGCCUUUUCAGUGGCAGCAAGUGCAGUACCAUAUGUGGAAAGCAUGCAGCUUUUUCACAGGGUAGGAGUCGUUCUCAGAUAUUUAAUUUCCUCACCUCUCUUGUUGGACUUUUCAUUUUUGAUUAUUAAAAGCAAAUUUUUUGUAAGGUGUUGCAAUUUACAUUUUAUUUCCUAGUAUUGCAUGAGUGUGUAUUUUAUCUAUCUAUCUAUCUAUCUAUCUAUGCUAGAUAUGAACCAUAAUAGUAAAAUUGACACCUGUGAAUUUAUCACCCAAUUAAUAAACUGGGAUAUAGCAAACACUGCUUCAUCAGCUAGGUGUCUGUUGCUAUUCCAUCUGGUAUUGUUUGAAUAUUUGUCCCCCACCACAAUUUAUUUCAAAACUUAAUUCUCAAUGCAGCAGUAUUGAGAGGUGGCCCUUCUAAGCGGUGAUUGAAUUAUGAGGGCUUUGUCCUCAUGGAUAGGUUAUUCAUAGGUUAAUGGGUUAAUGAAUGAAUGGGUUAUUAUGAAAGGAGACCUGGUGGCUUUAUAAGAAAAAAGAGACCUGAAUUAGCACAUGAGCACGCUCAGCAUCUUUCCCAUGUGAUACCCUGAGACACCUGGGGACUCUUCAGAGAGAUCCCAGCAGCAAGAAAGCUCUCACUAUAUGCACUCCUUUAUGGUCUUGCCUGCCUCCAGACGAGAACUGUAAUAAAUAAAUUCCUUUUAAAAUUACUCAGUUUCAGGUAUUAUGUUACAAAGAACAGAAAAUGAACUAAUACACCAUCUUUCUGCCUCAUGGUCGGGGGUGUCUUAAUUUGAAGUUUGAAUUUAUCAUUCUCCCUUUAAAAAUAAGCUUUCAUCAUAUAUAAAAGUUUCCCUAAAAUACUUUAUUUUGCUUUUGUGA
rnacentral:lncRNA from 10 species